rnacentral:rRNA from 1 species
CAGACGGGGGGCUGCAGUGGGGGAUAUUGCACAAUGGGGGGAACCCUGAUGCAGCGACGCCGCGUGGGUGAAGAAGCGCCUCGGCGCGUAAAGCCCUGUCAGCAGGGAAGAAAAUGACGGUACCUGAAGAAGAAGCCCCGGCUAACUACGUGCCAGCAGCCGCGGUAAUACGUAGGGGGCAAGCGUUAUCCGGAUUUACUGGGUGUAAAGGGGGCGCAGACGGCGAUGCAAGCCAGGAGUGAAAGCCCGGGGCCCAACCCCGGGACUGCUCUUGGAACUGCGUGGCUGGAGUGCAGGAGGGGCAGGCGGAAUUACUGGUGUAGCGGUGAAAUGCGUAGAUAUCAGGAGGAACACCGGUGGCGAAGGCGGCCUGCUGGACUGCAACUGACGUUGAGGCCCGAAAGCGUGGGGAGCAAACAGGAUUAGAUACCCUGGUAGUC